rnacentral:tRNA from 1 species
GGGGAUUUAGCUCAGCGGUACAGCGCUUGCCUAGCAAGCGCAAGGCCCUGGGUUCGAUCCCCAGCUCCG